rnacentral:rRNA from 1 species
GAUGAACGCUGGCGGCGUGCCUAAUACAUGCAAGUCGAGCGAACAGACGAGGAGCUUGCUCCUCUGACGUUAGCGGCGGACGGGUGAGUAACACGUGGAUAACCUACCUAUAAGACUGGGAUAACUUCGGGAAACCGGAGCUAAUACCGGAUAAUAUAUUGAACCGCAUGGUUCAAUAGUGAAAGACGGUUUUGCUGUCACUUAUAGAUGGAUCCGCGCCGCAUUAGCUAGUUGGUAAGGUAACGGCUUACCAAGGCGACGAUGCGUAGCCGACCUGAGAGGGUGAUCGGCCACACUGGAACUGAGACACGGUCCAGACGCCUACGGGAGGCAGCAGUAGGGAAUCUUCCGCAAUGGGCGGAAGCCUGACGGAGCAACGCCGCGUGAGUGAUGAAGGUCGUCGGAUCGUAAAACUCGGUUAUUAGGGAAGAACAAAUGUGUAAGUAACUAUGCACGUCUUGACGGUACCUAAUCAGAAAGCCACGGCUAACUACGUGC